GAUGAACGCUGGCGGCGUGCCUAAUACAUGCAAGUCGAGCGAACGGACGAGAAGCUUGCUUCUCUGAUGUUAGCGGCGGACGGGUGAGUAACACGUGGAUAACCUACCUAUAAGACUGGGAUAACUUCGGGAAACCGGAGCUAAUACCGGAUAAUAUUUUGAACCGCAUGGUUCAAAAGUGAAAGACGGUCUUGCUGUCACUUAUAGAUGGAUCCGCGCUGCAUUAGCUAGUUGGUAAGGUAACGGCUUACCAAGGCAACGAUGCAUAGCCGACCUGAGAGGGUGAUCGGCCACACUGGAACUGAGACACGGGCCAGACUCCUACGGGAAGCAGCAGUAGGGAAACUUCCGCAAUGGGCGAAAGCCUGACGGAGCAACGCCGCGUGAGUGAUGAAGGGCUUCGGAUCGUAAAACUCUGUUAUUAGGGAAGAACAAAUGUGGAAGGAACUGUGCACAUCUUGACGGUACCUAAUCAGAAAGCCACGGCUAACUACGUG
rnacentral:rRNA from 1 species